rnacentral:rRNA from 1 species
AUGCAAGUUCCUGGGUCUGCCAUUAUCGCUGCGCUCCUUCGCAAGCUGGAGCUGCAACCUCUCCCGGACAAGCUGCGCGCCCGCCUCGCCUGUUGGAAGGCUAGGCUGCUGACCCUUGCAGGUAGAUUGGUGCUCCUCAACUCGGUGCUGUCAGCGUCUACGGUCUACUGGCUGGCCGUCUUCGCCUUGCCACCUUGGGCGCGCAAGGAAAUCGAUCGGUUGCGCCGCGCUUGGCUAUGGCGUGGCGAGGAAACAUGCCACGGGGGGCACUCCAAAGUGGCAUGGGGACGCGUCUGCCGACCACGGGAGUUGGGUGGUCUGGGUAUCAUCGGCCUGGACCGGUUCGGGGUGGCCCUUCACUUGCGAUGGCUCUGGGCAGAACGGACGGCGGACACGCCCUGGCUAGGACUUCCUGCCCCGCUUACUUUACUAGAGCGUCGCAUGUUUGCAGCGGCGUGCGCGGUUACUGUCUGGUAG